UGGUAAGAAGACAUUCAGUUUUCACCAGAAAUUAUACUUUGUAAGAGUUUUUUACAAAGGUGUGAACUAAAACAACAGAGGAUAGUACUACGAUUCAGAUUCCACUUCAGUUCAGAUAUUGUUUUGACAUUGGGGCGGUGCUGGGGUGGGGGUGGGGGGUAGGGGGGCAGAUAAAUUGUGAAGAAAACUGUUUCUGUAGUUAUUAUUUGAAUAGUUAAAAUGUGCCGUAAUAAUUCCUUUAAAAUUUCCCUAAAUCCCUAGCUGUUCCUGCAUGGUUAUGAAGUGAAAUUCUGAUAUUAGCUGAUGCAAGAAAGUCUCCGACUCAUGGAAAAUUUUACUUAAUGCCUUAUACAUAUUGCCUUAUGUAGGGCCUUUUAUGGAGAGAAAGAAUUCCUCUACAUGGAUGGCUGAAUCUGAGACACAAGUGAGACAAAAGAGUUAAAUAUGCAUUUAAUGAACUGAUUUUUUACUCAACUUUUAAGCUGAAAUUAUAUCCCACUGCCACCAACACAACUUAAAGAACAUGUAGAAUCCGUAGUAAUAAACACAAGCAUCAUAAACCGACCACAAAAGACCAGUCUUCAUGCCAUGGAUAGGUUAUGAAACACUCUGCAUGCAGUCUAAAGCAGGGGAGUUGAAA